rnacentral:rRNA from 1 species
AAACCAAGGAAUUUAGUCAUUUUUUUCGGUAAAAAGACAGUUAAGCAACAGUAAAAUCAUUAGAUCUUUAGUAUAGGGGUAAAAUCUAAAUACUAAGAGUUAUAUCAAGUGUGAUUUAUUUUGAAUGCUGAAUCUGUGACAACUUUAAGGGAAACUGGGAUUGGAUACCCCACUAUUUUUAGUAAUAAAUUUGAUUUAGGUUUACCAGAGUACUACGAAUAAAAAGUUUAAAACUCAAAGAGCUUGGCGGUGUUUUAGACCUCUCAGGGGAACCUGUCUCGUAAUCGACAAUCCACGUUAAACCUAACCCUCUAUAGCAACUCAGCCUGUAUACCGUUGUCGUCAGGUAACUUUUUAAAAUAUAGUAGUUAGCUUGAAAAUUAUAUUAAUUAAUACGUCAGAUCAAGGUGCAGCCAAUAAGGGGGAGAGGAUGGGUUACAAUUAUAUAUUUAUAAUCACGAAAAACAUUCUAAAUAAAGUGUUAGAAGGAGGACUUGAAAGUAAUUUUGAUUAUAUAAACAAAAUGAAUAAGGCUCUGAAACGUG